GACAAGCGACACAAGAGUUAUGGGCAGUGAUUCAGACUUCUGGAAUCGGGCAAACAAUGCAAUGAGCUUCUGGGUCGCGAUGUAUUAUGUUACGGCGUCCGGGACUGAGUCACAGUUUCACCCUUCACGACGGAUCCGCGACCACAGAAGGAGACGUUCAAUCACCUGACGGGAGAACAAGUCGCGAGGUCUAACAACAUGAUUAAGCAGCAACGGUCUGUCGGAAGACUGAACAGACAUUAGAACAGUCUUCAAAUGCUUCAUAGACAGAUUAAUACAGAGGCGGAGAGGGGGGACGAGACCUGCCACGCUUGAGGGUCGGUGGAAAUGUGUCUCUGAGAUGGCCUUGGUGAAGUGCUGCGAGGACCAGUGCAGGGGGGAGGAACACGGUGGAGCAAAGAUAUACGAAACACGGAUCGCAUGAGACGUCUCCCCUUAUUACUAACUCCCCUUGAAGAAACUCAAAGGCCAAGUGGUAUCUUGCUCAAGCAUCAGUGCUCAGUACGAUUCUUGGUGUCGCCUGUGAGAGAAGAGCGAGCCGCUGACAAAGAACAAAAGCCCACCAGAACCAGAAGGAUUCACUGCUGAUUUCUGUCAACCUGCUGGCUCUGACUUUUCUUACUGCUGGAAGACGACGGUGUUAAAACAAGGCUGAAUGCUGAGGGGAGAGAGAUAAGAGGUCUGCAGUAAAAAAGAAUAACCUGUCGUAUCGGGAGUGUUACGGCCUCAUGAGUCACAGGACCAAACAGGAAACAUGAGCGAGCGCUUUCUUUUCAAAAGAAAAGUCCCGUUUGAUGCCAUCAAAGGAAACACUGCGUUGAACAUUUGUAUGUUUUUCAGUUUUCGAUACCGCAAGUCAAUGGGUGGUAUACUUGGUUUUUUCCAGAUUCUGAGUAUGACCUGUUAUACUCAAAAGAUCUGAAACACUUAAAGUGAUGUGAACUGCUUCAUCGUGUGAGUUCUUGAAACAUAUUUAAAGGAAGUAAGUGCAAUUAGUAGUUUUUUUACUGCUUAUUUAAGUGCAGCUGAAGUUGCACUUCAAACACAGUACUUUUAUAACAUAAUAGAAUAUAAAUGAUUAAAAAAAAAAAGUUUAAGAAUAGCAAAGAAAGUGUGUGCGUCUGUGCGUAUGUGUGUGAGUGUGUUGGAGGUGUUUGUUUUUCAAUAU
ensembl:lncRNA